CGGGUGAGUAACACGUAUCCAACCUGCCGUCUGCUCUUGGCCAGCCUUCUGAAAGGAAGAUUAAUCCAGGAUGGCAUCAUGAGUUCACAUGUCCGCAUGAUUAAAGGUAUUUUCCGGUAGACGAUGGGGAUGCGUUCCAUUAGAUAGUAGGCGGGGUAACGGCCCACCUAGUCUUCGAUGGAUAGGGGUUCUGAGAGGAAGGUCCCCCACAUUGGAACUGAGACACGGUCCAA
rnacentral:rRNA from 1 species